UACGUAGGGGGCAAGCGUUGUCCGGAAUUAUUGGGCGUAAAGAGCGUGUAGGCGGCCAGAUAAGUCCGCUGUGAAAUCUCGAGGCUCAACUUCGAGCUGUCGGUGGAAACUAUCUGGCUAGAGUCCGGAAGAGGAGAAUGGAAUUCCUGGUGUAGCGGUGAAAUGCGCAGAUAUCAGGAGGAACACCGGUGGCGAAGGCGGUUCUCUGGGCAUGUCCUGACGCUGAGGAGCGAAAGUGUGGGGAGCGAACAGG
rnacentral:rRNA from 1 species